rnacentral:rRNA from 1 species
AUUGAACGCUGGCGGCAUGCCUAACACAUGCAAGUCGAACGGCAGCGGAUUAAACAAUCCUUUCGGGGUGCGUUUGAUGCCGGCGAGUGGCGAACGGGUGAGUAACGCGUAGGAAUUUGCCCUAAAGUGGAGGACAACUCGGGGAAACUCGAGCUAAUACUGCAUAAACUCUACGGAGUAAAGCUGGGGAUCUUCGGACCUGGCGCUUUAGGAUAAGCCUGCGUUGGAUUAGCUUGUUGGUGGGGUAACGGCCUACCAAAGCAACGAUCCAUAGCUGGUUUGAGAGAAUGAUCAGCCACACUGGGACUGAGACACGGCCCAGACUCCUACGGGAGGCAGCAGUGGGGAAUAUUGGACAAUGGGGGCAACCCUGAUCCAGCAAUGCCGCGUGUGUGAAGAAGGCCCGAGGGUUGUAAAGCACUUUCAGUUGCGAAGAACGGUUUGCGGUUAAUACCCGUAAACUUUGACGUUACCAACAGAAGAAGCACCGGCUAACUCCGUGCCAGCCGCCGCAGUAAAAC